UAGUGUUAGUUUUUAGCCAUACUCUGAUCGAGACGCACAGAAGAUUUAAUUUUCUUUGUUAUUCUCAUCUUGAUCAUUACAGAGUGUACAAACACAGACAAAUGGCGUUUAUUAAAGAUGAGACUGAAGACUUAAAGAUUGAAGAAGUAUUCAGUCUCAAACGAGAAGAUUUUGAGGAACACACAGAGUUUAUUGAAGACAAUAAGGAUAAGGAGGAAUUGAGUGAAGUUGAGGAUAAAAAUUAUGCAUCAAAAAUCAAAAGUGGAGAAAAACCCAAACAAAAAGUUUUAAAGAAAAGAAGAGCCAAGAAAUCUUCCAACUGCUCUCAGUGUGGAAAGAGUUUCUCACGGAAAAAUAAUCUUGAGCGUCAUAUGAGAAUUCAUACUGGAGAGAAACCGUUCACUUGUGAUCAAUGUGGAAAGAGUUUCUCACGCAAACGUAAUCUUGGGCUUCACAUGAAAGUUCAUACUGGAGAAAAAACAUUCACUUGUGAUCAAUGUGGGAAGGGUUUCUUACGCAAAUAUCAUCUAGAUGUUCACAUGAGAUUUCAUACCGGAGAGAAACCGUUUACCUGCACUCAGUGUGGCAAGAGUUUCACAUGCAAACACAUUCUUAAGCUUCACAUGAUCAUUCACACUGGAGAGAAACUGUUCAAUUGUGAUCAAUGUGGGAAGCGUUUCUUCCGCAAAUAUAAUCUAAAUGCUCACAUGAGAUUACACACUGGAGACAAACCAUUUACCUGCACUCAGUGUGGGAAGAGUUUCACAUGCAAAUCUCAACUUGAGCUUCACAUGAGAAUUCACACUGGAGAGAAACCAUUCAUUUGUGAUCAGUGUGGGAAGAGUUUCUCACUAUCGUCAAGCCUUACGAAUCAUAUGAUCAUCCACACUGGAGAGAAACUCUACGUAUGUGCUGAGUGUGGCAAAAGAUUUCCGCGGGCUACAAACCUGAGGAUACACCAGAAAGUUCAUACAAAGGAGAAGCCACAUUCAUGUAAUUCAUUACUAAGUUUGAAAGAUCAUCACAAAAAGCAUACUAGUGUGGGAAAGUACAUGUGCUUUGUGUGUGAAAAGACUUUUACUUCAGCGGGCAGUUUAAAAGUGCAUGAGAGGAUCCACACUGGAGAAAAACCUUAUAAGUGUUCACACUGUGACAAGAGAUUCACUCAUUCAUCAACUCUGAAAACACAUUGGAGGAUUCACACUGGAGAAAAACCUUUCAAGUGUUCACACUGUGACAAGAGCUUCGGUCAGCAAUCAAAUCUGAAAGCACAUGAGAAAAUCCACAUUGGAGAGAAACCGUAUCAAUGAAAUGCUGGCCACAUGCAGUGCAAUCAAUCUUCUGCUCUACUCAAAUACAAAAAGAUAUCACACUUUGAGGGAAUAUUGAUUACAAGUGACGAGACAAAGAAACAUUAUCUAAAGUUUACACAGUGAGUAGAAAAGAUGUUUCUGCCCAUAGAAUAAUGUCCUAGUUAUAUUCAAUAUAUCAUUGUGCUUUCUUAUGAGUUUCAUAUUAUGUUCAAUAUAUAGCAUAAGCAGAACCGUAAGAAUAGUAAUAUCAUUAAAACUUUACAGAUACCCAUUAGCUUAUCUCAUUAGUUUCAUGUUUACUUGGAUCGUUUCUGUAUUUGCUGAUUAAAUGCUGACUAAAUAUCA